AUUGAACGCUAGCGGGAUGCCUUACACAUGCAAGUCGAACGGAGUGGCGAACGGGUGAGUAAUGUAUCGGAACGUGCCCAGUAGCGGGGGAUAACUACGCGAAAGCGUAGCUAAUACCGCAUACUAUUGGAGCGGCCGAUAUCGGUGUGGCUAGUUGGUGGGGUCACGGCCCACCAAGGCGAACAUCCGUAGCUGGUUUGGGGUGACGACCAGCCCACCUGGGAGUGAGACACGCACCAAACGCCUCGGGGAUGCAGCGGUGGUGAGUCUUGGACAAUGGGGGAGACCCUGAUCCAGCCAGCCCGCGUGUGCGAUGAAGGCCUUCGGGUUGUAAAGCGCAUUUGGCAGGAAAGCGGUACCUGCAGAAUAAGCACCGGCUAACUACGUGCCAGCAGCCGCGGUAAUUC
rnacentral:rRNA from 1 species